rnacentral:rRNA from 1 species
AGCUACAGGCUUAACACAUGCAAGUCGAGGGGCAUCAGGAAGAAAGCUUGCUUUCUUUGCUGGCGACCGGCGCACGGGUGAGUAACACGUAUCCAACCUGCCCUUUACUCGGGGAUAGCCUUUCGAAAGAAAGAUUAAUACCCGAUGGCAUAAUGAUUCCGCAUGGUUUCAUUAUUAAAGGAUUCCGGUAAAGGAUGGGGAUGCGUUCCAUUAGGUUGUUGGUGAGGUAACGGCUCACCAAGCCUUCGAUGGAUAGGGGUUCUGAGAGGAAGGUCCCCCACAUUGGAACUGAGACACGGUCCAAACUCCUACGGGAGGCAGCAGUGAGGAAUAUUGGUCAAUGGGCGCUAGCCUGAACCAGCCAAGUAGCGUGAAGGAUGAAGGCUCUAUGGGUCGUAAACUUCUUUUAUAUAAGAAUAAAGUGCAGUAUGUAUACUGUUUUGUAUGUAUUAUAUGAAUAAGGAUCGGCUAACUCCGUGCCAGCAGCCGCGGUAAUACGGAGGAUCCGAGCGUUAUCCGGAUUUAUUGGGUUUAAAGGGAGCGUAGGUGGACUGGUAAGUCAGUUGUGAAAGUUUGCGGCUCAACCGUAAAAUUGCAGUUGAUACUGUCAGUCUUGAGUACAGUAGAGGUGGGCGGAAUUCGUGGUGUAGCGGUGAAAUGCUUAGAUAUCACGAAGAACUCCGAUUGCGAAGGCAGCUCACUGGACUGCAACUGACACUGAUGCUCGAAAGUGUGGGUAUCAAACAGGAUUAGAUACCCUGGUAGUCCACACAGUAAACGAUGAAUACUCGCUGUUUGCGAUAUACAGUAAGCGGCCAAGCGAAAGCAUUAAGUAUUCCACCUGGGGAGUACGCCGGCAACGGUGAAACUCAAAGGAAUUGACGGGGGCCCGCACAAGCGGAGGAACAUGUGGUUUAAUUCGAUGAUACGCGAGGAACCUUACCCGGGCUUAAAUUGCAGUGGAAUGAUGUGGAAACAUGUCAGUGAGCAAUCACCGCUGUGAAGGUGCUGCAUGGUUGUCGUCAGCUCGUGCCGUGAGGUGUCGGCUUAAGUGCCAUAACGAGCGCAACCCUUAUCUUUAGUUACUAACAGGUCAUGCUGAGGACUCUAGAGAGACUGCCGUCGUAAGAUGUGAGGAAGGUGGGGAUGACGUCAAAUCAGCACGGCCCUUACGUCCGGGGCUACACACGUGUUACAAUGGGGGGUACAGAAGGCAGCUAGCGGGUGACCGUAUGCUAAUCCCAAAAGCCUCUCUCAGUUCGGAUCGAAGUCUGCAACCCGACUUCGUGAAGCUGGAUUCGCUAGUAAUCGCGCAUCAGCCACGGCGCGGUGAAUACGUUCCCGGGCCUUGUACACACCGCCCGUCAAGCCAUGGGAGCCGGGGGUACCUGAAGUACGUAACCGCAAGGAUCGUCCUAGGGUAAAACUGGUGACUGGGGCU